GAUGAAGAACGUAGCAAAAUGCGAUACUUGGUGUGAAUUGCAGAAUCCCGUGAACCAUCGAGUUUUUGAACGCAGGUUGCGCCCGAAGCCUUUUGGCCGAGGGCACGUCUGCCUGGGCGUCACGCAUCGCGUCGCCCCCCACAAUUCUCCGUAAAAGGAACAUGUGUUUUGGGGGCGGAUAUUGGUCUCCCGUGCUCAUGGCGUGGUUGGCCGAAAUAGGAGUCCUUUCGAUGGACGCACGAACUAGUGGUGGUCGUAAAAACCCUCGUCUUUUGUUUCGUGCUGUUGCUCGCAAGGUAAACUCUUUAAAAACCCCAAUGUGUCGUCUCUUGACGACGCUUCGACCGCGACCCCAGGUCAGGCGGGACUACCCGCUGAGUUUAAGCAUAUCAAUAAGCGGAGGA
rnacentral:misc_RNA from 1 species